ACUCUUCUACCCUUCCUCAGCUGAAUCACCACCGUCUUCCUCUUUACCUCAUUUUGCUCUCUCUUUGCCUGGUCCAGGAGCAUAGAGGCCAUCACCCUACCCUUUUGCCUCCAACUCUGGGAAAACAGAACAGUCUAAUCUCUCUUUCUCUGGUUAAACCUGCAUAAGUCUCAACUCUAAUACUUUAAGCAAGUCUGACAGUUGAUAAACUUCACCUUGACUCAUAAUCAUCCUGUCAAUCUCUCUCUUUAACAAACAUACAGAUCACUCAAUGUUCCAAGAUUCAUGUAAAAAGAAGUCUUUUGUUUUAAUCACUGAGAACUUCCGGAGAAAAGAAGAAAGUUCUUCAUGGAUCUGAUGCCUACAUGCUAUCUGCCUGGGUGCCACUGGAGCUCUGAAUUUUACAUACCAGGUUAUGUAUGGACUUAGCUCUAUUAUGAACAGCAGGUUGGUGACAUCAGAAUCUGGAGGUGGCAUGCAAGCACACCCAGAUACCUCACUCUGUUUCUCACAGCCCUCACUUAUGUCCCUGAGUAGAUGAAGCCAAUAAUUCUGCAGAAGGGAACAAACAGCAGGAGGCCCAUUUCUGUGAUAUGAGGAUCCUGCACUUAGGGCUGUUCAGCGGAUAGGUUACAAGGGUAGAGUUCCAGAUAAUGCAGUUUCAUAAAAGUAAUUACUUAAUGGUUUGAGUUCUUUAUAGAAGUAUAGGCAUGUGCCUCAGACUUCAAAGCAGGAAGUACCCAGUCUCCCAUCUGUUUCUUAAUAACGCAGAUACUGCUGUUGUGAAAAAGGCAGAGUUCUGGAAUAUUCCCACUGUUAUAGCUCAAGGAAAAAUGUAUUUUCCUAUGGUACACUGAAGAAGGAUGAACUCAAAGGCUAAUCAUUGACUAGUCACAUUAAAGUGUUCAUUUCUUCUUAGUGCCCCUUUCAGACAGAAGUGCCUUGGAUGAAAGUUAAGAGACCUGGGGCCUGAUUCUUCAGCCCGAGCCAGUGAGCAGGACACAGAGAAGCACUUGUGCCCUCAUCAGAAGAGUUUCAUGCUGAAUGAGCU
rnacentral:lncRNA from 1 species